UCCGUAGGCGGGCCUGUAAGUCAGUGGUGAAAUCUCAUAGCUUAACUAUGAAACUGCCAUUGAUACUGCAGGCCUUGAGUAAAUUUGAAGUGGCUGGAAUAAGUAGUGUAGCGGUGAAAUGCAUAGAUAUUACUUAGAACACCGAUUGCGAAGGCAGGUCACUAAGAUUUAACUGACGCUGAUGGACGAAAGCGUGGGGAGCGAACA
rnacentral:rRNA from 1 species